GGUAAAAUGGCUGAAUCUAAGGUAAUAAACUGUAAAUUUAUUUAUGAAAUUUUAAUUUCUUUUACCA
rnacentral:tRNA from 1 species